AUGCCUAAUACAUGCAAGUCGAACGCUUUUGGGGUUUCGGCUCCAAGGGAGUGGCGCACGGGUGAGUAGCGCGUGGGAACCUGCCCUGUUGUGGGGGAUAACCGAGGGAAACUUCGGCUAAUACCGCAUGCGCCCCCGGCCUGAUCUUCGGAUUAGUCCUGGGGGGAAAGAUUUUAUCGCAGCAGGAGGGGCCCGCGUCGGAUUAGCUGGUUGGCGGGGUAACGGCCCACCAAGGCGAUGAUCCGUAGCUGGUCUGAGAGGAUGAUCAGCCACACUGGGACUGAGACACGGCCCAG
rnacentral:rRNA from 1 species